rnacentral:rRNA from 1 species
UACGGGGGGAGCAAGCGUUGUUCGGAUUUACUGGGCGUAAAGGGCGCGUAGGCGGCCAGCACAAGUCAGUUGUGAAAUCUCCGAGCUUAACUCGGAACGGUCAACUGAUACUGUGCGGCUAGAGUGCAGAAGGGGCAACUGGAAUUCUUGGUGUAGCGGUGAAAUGCGUAGAUAUGCGGAGGAACACCGAUGGCGAAGGCAAUCCCCUGGGCCUGCACUGACGCUCAUGCACGAAAGCGUGGGGAGCAAACAGG